UGCGUGCCAGCUGACACACCACCUCUCUCGGUAACUGUCCUCCAGCUCGGACGCCCAGGACAAGUACAGUCGGCCUCAAUUUGCAGCUGAAUCAUGCAACCCAGCGGCCCUCGGGAUAGCAAGGGUCCCCGGCUUUCCCACCCUACCAAGCUGUAUCAGCGCGUGACAGCCGCGACUGGAUGGCCUAAGGCGUUCCAACAGAGAGGAGAGAAGCCAGAGUGACGCUCAGCGUCGGAAACACGAAGGUGGCCGAGUGCUGCUUCCAGAGUUUGGAUGACAGCAACAAAGCUUCUCGAUUUUCAUACUGAAGAUGUACAGCCAGCUUGUUGUUCAGGACCAUGACCAGGAGGCACCUACCUAACCACAACUGGAAAAUGAGCUCAAAACUGCAACCGACUCCAGUGCAGGAGAUGACAGGGGUGAGAGCCUUGCCCUUCUCAAGCUCGGCCAUGCCUGGAGGGGUGAGCGGCCAGGAGCAGACAGCUCUGCCUCACUGUAGACACAGAACGCUCACUCAUCCCACGCCAUGCUGAUGAGCCAACCGUCUGGAUUGUGAAGUAGACCCCACCUGCUGCUGACACCUGGGGAGACGCGGAUCACAGGCCAGGAGGCGGGUCAGAAGCUGGGGCUCACAGCCGCAGGUGGAGACACCCUUUUGCUAACAAAAGACUCUUCAGGAGCCACAAGCUGGCCUCACAGAAGCUGGUCCUGCACAGCAGCAAGGUGCCUGUGUUGCAAGGGGGAGGUAAAAACCACCCUCUCCUCCUCCUCCCUCUCUUCCUCCCUCCCUCUCUCUCUCUCCUCUCUUUCUCUUCUCUCUCUUCCCCCCUUUCUCUACCUCUCAAAGUCCUAUCAAACUAGGAAGUAGCAGGUCCCCAACAGAUUUCACAAAGAGACAAGAAAAUAUCCACAUUCUGUGGCACUAGGCUUAGCUAUCCUAAAGAGGGCUGUGCUAAGCAAAGUCCCAAGUUCCAUGUCCCUUUAUAUCAUGCAUGGUUUACUGGACCCAUCUGAUUAUCUUAUCAUUACUGUGCGGAAGUGUCUGAGACAGGAUUUUGCCCAGUUUGGCUUAGAGAACUCUGAUCCUGCUGCCUUUGCCUUCUGAGUACUAGGAUGACAGGUGUGUGUCACCGUACAAAAUUUAUCCAGACUUUUAGUUGUGGGAUAAAACAGCCUAAGGUAAUACUGAAUGUUAAUGUUUAAAAUAAGUUAAAAUGUAAAAGAUAAGACUUCAUAAGCCACCCAAUACAGCUUUUAUGAUUUUGAUUUAAAUUUCUUGUUUAAUUAGCUAAAUUAGUUCCUCAAAAAACAGGCACCACUUACUAAUUUUAAUGAGUUUAAAAUGGAAAGACAUUGGCCAGGUAAAAUGGCUCAGCAGGUACAAGUGGUUGCUUCACAACCCACAACCUAUAUGCAAAACCGGAUUGUGGUGUGCACCUGUAAUCCCAGUACGCCUCUAAGACACCUGGUGUGCACCUGUAAUCCCAGCAAUCCUCUGCUGAGACACCUGGUGUGCACCUGUAAUCCCAGUACGCCUCUAAGACACCUGGUGUGCACCUGUAAUCCCAGCAAUCCUCUGCUGAGACACCUGGUGUGCACCUGUAAUCCCAGCAAUCCUCUGCUGAGACACCUGGUGUGCACCUCCUCUAAGACAACUAAUGUGUACCUGUGAUUCCAGCACUCCUCUGCUGAGACACAAACCAGGAACACUUACAUGACAGAAACAAGACCCUUAGAAAACUAAGUCUGAGAAACUGUCCUCUGUCUGAUUGGCCAUGACAGGUGCAUAUCUAUACUCGCAUGAAUUCAUGACACAUACAAAUACUGAAAACAUACGUGUGUGUGUGUGUGUGUGUGUGUGUGUGUGUGUGUGUGUGUAGGCGCAAGUCAGCAACAACAGACUAGAACUGACAGGAUGAAUAUAUACAUUCAUACACAUCACAUGUAUAUGUAUAUAUAUACAUACAUGCAUAGGUAUGUGUAUAUAUACAUAUAUAUGAUUUAUUAGACUGGCUUGCAGAAGAGAGGAAGAAAAGACAAAUUUAAAGUGUCAUGCUACACACACUUGCAAAUACGUAACGUGCAUGGAUCACACUUUCUGUAACUAAGAAGAUGACUGCAGCAGAUCAUAAAUUUAGUCAACACCUUCAGAGCAACCCUCCUCCCGGUACUAAGCAACGCAAACACACCACCGAAACAGCCAGGGUUCUAAACUCCCCACUGCCAUUUCUUCCACCACAUCAUUUCCUGGAUAAGCUUUCUCAUGCCUGAGGCAGGUCAGGGUGCCAGCCACAGGAAGACGCGCCACGAAAGGCUGAGCUCUUCAGCUGCAUCCUGAAGGAACUUGACCAGCCUUGUCCACCUCCCCGGCGGCACGGGGUGGGGC